rnacentral:rRNA from 1 species
UACGGGGGGGGCAAGCGUUGUUCGGAUUUACUGGGCGUAAAGGGCGCGUAGGCGGCCACCGCAAGUCGACUGUGAAAUCUCCGGGCUUAACCCGGAAAGGUCAGCCGAUACUGCGGGGCUAGAGUGCAGAAGGGGCAACUGGAAUUCUCGGUGUAGCGGUGAAAUGCGUAGAUAUCGAGAGGAACACCUGCGGCGAAGGCGGGUUGCUGGGCUGACACUGACGCUGAGGCGCGAAAGCCAGGGGAGCGAACGGG